GGAAAGGUGGAUGAGUGGUUUAAGUCGCACGCCUGGAAAGCGUGUGUAGGGUAAUACCCUACCGCGGGUUCGAAUCCCGCCCUUUCCGCCA
rnacentral:tRNA from 1 species